GUGGGGAACACAGAGCCCUGCCCAGAGGCUUGAACCUGGCACCACAGGGGUCUGGAAUUACACAGAAGACGGGUGACAGCCAAGGUGGAUCAUGAACGGUGGACUUCAGGGCUCCACUCUGCCACUGUCAACAUACAGUCCCUCCAGAGAAGUACCCCUCAUGUUACAAAUGGGGCACGUUCACCAGACUCAGCUUCAGGACAAGACCCCAGGUCAUUCCCAACUGAGGCUCCGAGGUGCAGGAGCUCCGUCCUGUCUGUAAAACUCCCUCAGUUUUCG
rnacentral:lncRNA from 1 species